rnacentral:misc_RNA from 1 species
AACGCAAAUGGCGCUUUUGAUUUCUCAAAAGCAUGUCUGUCUGAGAGUCGAUACAACACCUCUUUCUCUCUUCAUAUACUUGUUAUCUGCGGAGGAAAGGAAAUGAGGGAGAAUCGCAAUACACAUCUUUUGUUGUAUUGAGUCCCUUUAAAUGAAAGGAUAAAUGGAAAGACAUUAACUUCAUAUAUCAUCCACGCAUAUAUGACAUAAUCCUCACCCAAAGUGAGACAACAUUCUUUUGAUGUUUCAUUAGUAAGUUUGGCAUUUGAAAUACAUGUCGUGAAAGUGGUAUACGUUGUGGUUUUUCACAUUUCAACUAUCAUAAACACAUAUGUGUUUUCCAACUCUUUAUUUUAAACUCCGACCUCAGAUCAGACAAGACUACCCGCUGAAUUUAA